rnacentral:rRNA from 1 species
ACUCCUACGGGAGGCAGCAGUGGGGAAUAUUGCACAAUGGGGGGAACCCUGAUGCAGCAACGCCGCGUGAGUGAAGAAGGCAUUCGUGUCGUAAAACUCUGUAGUAGGGGAAGAAAGAAAUGACAGUACCCUAAAAGAAAGCCCCGGCUAACUACGUGCCAGCAGCCGCGGUAAUACGUAGGGGGCAAGCGUUAUCCGGAAUAACUGGGCGUAAAGGGUGCGCAGGUGGUUUAACAAGUUAGUGGUGAAAGGCAUAGGCUCAACCAAUGUAAGCCAUUAAAACUGUUUAACUUGAGUGCAGGAGAGGAAAGUGGAAUUCCUAGUGUAGCGGUGAAAUGCGUAGAUAUUAGGAGGAAUACCAGUGGCGAAGGCGACUUUCUGGACUGCAACUGACACUGAGGCACGAAAGCGUGGGGAGCAAACAGGAUUAGAUACCCUUGUAGUCC